rnacentral:rRNA from 1 species
CCUACGGGUGGCAGCAGUGAGGAAUAUUGGUCAAUGGACGAGAGUCUGAACCAGCCAAGUAGCGUGAAGGAUGACUGCCCUAUGGGUUGUAAACUUCUUUUAUAUGGGAAUAAAAUGUUCCACGUGUGGGAUUUUGUAUGUACCAUAUGAAUAAGGAUCGGCUAACUCCGUGCCAGCAGCCGCGGUAAUACGGAGGAUCCGAGCGUUAUCCGGAUUUCUUGGGUUUAAAGGGAGCGUAGGUGGAUUGUUAAGUCAGUUGUGAAAGUUUGCGGCUCAACCGUAAAAUUGCAGUUGAAACUGGCAGUCUUGAGUACAGUAGAGGUGGGCGGAAUUCGUGGUGUAGCGGUGAAAUGCUUAGAUAUCACGAAGAACUCCGAUUGCGAAGGCAGCCUGCUGGACUGUAACUGACGCUGAUGCUCGAAAGUGUGGGUAUCAAACAGGAUUAGAUACCCUAGUAGUC